UACGUAGGGUGCGAGCGUUGUCCGGAAUUAUUGGGCGUAAAGGGCUCGUAGGCGGUUUGUCGCGUCGGGAGUGAAAACACACAGCUUAACUGUGUGCUUGCUUCCGAUACGGGCAGACUAGAGGUAUGCAGGGGAGAACGGAAUUCCUGGUGUAGCGGUGAAAUGCGCAGAUAUCAGGAGGAACACCGGUGGCGAAGGCGGUUCUCUGGGCAUUACCUGACGCUGAGGAGCGAAAGUGUGGGUAUCAAACAGG
rnacentral:rRNA from 1 species